GUACACCUAAGCCAAGCCAAGGUCAUUUCAACAAAAGUGAAUAUUUCUUCUUAUGCCAAGUGGGGCCUCUGUGGCCAAGUGGUCUAAGUAGUUACUACUGUAAUCACUAGCCAGUCAACACUGAGGUUGUGAGUUCGAACCCCGCUCCUGCGGGUGCACUCGACUCCAAUCUUAAUUGACUAGGAUUUUCAGUUUUCCUAUCGAAGGUCGGUGGUUUUCUCUGGGCACUCCGGCUUCCUCCACCAAUAAAAACUGGCCGCCACGAAAUAGCCCAAAAGCAGUGCUAAAAAGUGGCGUUAAAACACCAAAAAUCAAAUCAAAUCUUAUGCCAAGUGAAUCAGUUAGAAAUUUAUAUUUCAUCUAAGCCAAGGUUUUGUUGACAUUUCUUGUUAUGUAAUUUAUAGUACAACUAAGCCAAGGUCAUUUCUACAAAGGUCAAUGUUCUAGUGAUGUUCAUGAUGUUCAGUGAAUAAGUCAACAACUUAUAGUACACCUAAUCAGUUCAUUUCUACAAAGGUCAAUGUUCUAGUGAUGUUCAUGAUGUUCAGUGAAUAAGUCAACAACUUAUAGUACACCUAAUCAGUUCAUUUCUACAAAGGUCAAUGUUCUAGUGAUGUUCAUGAUGUUCAGUGAAUAAGUCAACAACUUAUAGUACACCUAAUCAGUUCAUUUCUACAAAGGUCAAUGUUCUGGUGAUGGUCAGUGAAUAAGUCAACAACUUAUAGUACACCUAAUCAGUUCAUUUCUACAAAGGUCAAUGUUCUGGUGAUGGUCAGUGAAUAAGUCAACAACUUAUAGUACACCUAAUCAGUUCAUUUCUACAAAGGUCAAUGUUCUAGUGAUGGUCAGUGAAUAAGUCAACAACUUAUAGUACACCUAAUCAGUUCAUUUCUACAAAGGUCAAUGUUCUGGUGAUGGUCAGUGAAUAAGUCAACAACUUAUAGUACACCUAAUCGGUUCAUUUCUACAAAGGUCAAUGUUCUGGUGAUGGUCAGUGAAUAAGUCAACAACUUAUAGUACACCUAAUCAGUUCAUUUCUACAAAGGUCAAUGUUCUGGUGAUGAUGAGUGAAUCAUUCUGUAG